rnacentral:lncRNA from 1 species
AAUUCAACGGCAUACUGGCAGUCAUGUUUAGCAGUGUUUCCACUGACAUAUUAUCGUAUUUAAACUUAGAAAAAGAUUUUGAUUCAAUUAUUUUCUCUAUGGUUGAGAUGCCCUGUACACAUCUUUGUAAGUCUUCAGGUUCCUUGAAGUAAUUGAAUGUGACAGACGGGUUAUCGUUCGGGUUACGGGUUCGGAGCUCCAAAUGGCCCGUGGAUACUGGGCCUAUAAUCUUUUCGAAAAUGAAUCCGCCUCUGUAAGGUCUUGGCGAUGGCGACCCACCGGCGAAGUUUACGCCACUUGCGCCUUCUAUGUAGCUUCCAAACUGGGUAAUUCCGACGACCUGGAGGAGGGAAACCUCCACCGGCACAGGGGACGGUACAAAAAUGGCAUUCAUGGGAUUAUCAGACAUCCCUUGACCAACCAAGGGCUGGUCCAACACAACCGUGAUAUUAUGGGCCUUGAGGUGUUCUGCUGGGCCCACUCCACUCAGCAUUAAAAGUUGUGGGCUUCCCAGUGCUCCAGCUGACACUAUGAUCUCAUUCUUAGGCCCAUUCCUUAGAUAUGCUAUGUGCUCGGCUUCUGUUGCAUCUCUGAAGACCACUCCAUGGGCCACUGGCCUUGCCUUUCCUGUUUAAAACUUCAAAAUGUCAGUCAAUCAUCAAGAUUGAUAGUAGUAGCCGACCAUAUGGUUGAUCUCUUGCGUGCAACACAUACCUUUAUUUCUGAACAGAAUCUUGUGCACAGAGGCAUGCAAGAGCACAGUGAGGCCACUGGGAUUAGCAUACUCCAACAAGUCAGCAGCUGUGUGUCUUUGGCUAUUUUGAUCAAUAAUUGUCCCGCCAAUCUUCGUGCCAUACAAAUGAUCGUAAGUGAAGCCAUUGUACGGCAACACCCCUACCUCCACCAGCCCAUCUCUCAGAGCCGACUGCCACCGCUGCAUCGGCGGCCUGAAUACCACCUUCUUCUCCACCCACUGGUAUGAUUCAUUCACUAAACGUCCAUCCCACCCCGCUUCUCUAAUUUAACAAAAGUAAAUAAAAUCAGGAAAAAAAAAUCAGUUCAGUAAAGAUUAGGGUUUAAAUUGAAGUUUAGCUCGUCGAUAAUAAUUUUAUACUCGAGCCCCCUUGCAUCUUAAAUUACUAAAUAAUGACGCUCUAAAGGCUGACGUUGCCACAUUGUAACCACUGCCGAAUGGUAAUUCACAAGCAUUACUACCAGUCAGUUACCUGGCAUAAUAAGGCUCAGCGCGUGUGUAGAAGCCGGCAUUGAUGCAAGUGCCGCCUCCUAAAACGCGGGCACGAGUACUGACGACGCCAUCUUCGGAGAUGAAGCGCUGCGAGGGAGAGGUUGGUGAGAGAUCAGCGAGUUCAGCGCUAAAAGAACCCGAGUUGGUGAUGUUGGGGUUUCCGUAAGGCGAGUCACCGCGUUCAAGUAGCAACACGGAGGCGUUUUGCGAGAGCGAGGCAGCUAACGGGCAGCCGGCGGUGCCACCUCCGAUGACGAUGUAGUCGUAGUAGGACACUGGUUUUGCUGCAGUUGCGUUGCGCAUGAAACUGUAGUUCGGAGCUGCUGUGUACACAAAAAGUGACGUAUAAAAUAUGGGGAUCAUAGAGAGGGUCCAGGUAUGUAACACACCACAUUCUUUUGUCUUUUCCUAAUCCAUCAUUAGAUUUAACUUAAAACAAGUGCAAUGGCUAAGAUGUUUAUGUUGGAUUAUUAACAUUAUACUCCCCAAUAUUUGCUACAAAAUUACAAAAGGAACAAAGCUUAAAAUAUUGACACAUAAAUCCACAAAUUUACAAUUUAUUAUUCAAUAGUAUUAAAACAUUUUAAUUAUAUUUUAAAUAUAAUUAAAUAAUGUAUUACUUAAUUAUAUUAUAACAUUUAAUAAGUAAAAAUUGAUUAUUAUUUAAUAAGCGAAUAAUAAUAAAUACUUAAAUAUGAUAAAAAAAUAAAAUUAUAACAUAAUAUUACAUUAUUUAAUUAUAUUAUAGUAAUUAAUAUAUAAAAUUGAUUAUUAUUUAACAACUUAAUAUAACUAAUAAUAAAUACUUAAAUAAUAUUUAAAAUAAAAAUAUAAUAUAAUAUUACGUUAUUUAAUUAUAUUAUAAUAUUAGUAUAUAAAAAUUUAUUAUUUUUUAAAUAUUUAAUAAAACAAAUAAUAAAUACUUAAAUAUUAAUAAUAUUCUAAAUAAUAAUAUUAAAUAUUAUUACUUAUACUAUAGUUAAUAUUGCACCAAACAUGAUAUUGUAUUACAGUUUAAUACACGUUAAUGACACACACCGUAAUACAAUGCAGCUAAUGUAAUACAAUAUAUUGUGUCAAAUGACCUUGUUAAUUUCACCGAUAAAUUAAUUUAUUCUUAUAUAUGAAUUAAUAUUUUUAAAUUAAUAGUCUUUCUUAUUAAUUAAUUAAUUUAAUAUAUAAUAAAACCAUGUAUUAAUUACAAACCAUAUUUUAUGAUAAAUAUGAGUAUGAAAUUGAUCUUUUGUUCUUAAUUUGUAGUUAAUAUUUGUUUCAUAAUACUUAUUCAAUUUGCAGUAAAAAAUUUCAAUAUGCAAUAAAAAUAUAUUAAUUCACCAAUUAAUACUUUUUUUAUUGUUUAAUAAGAAGGUAUCAAAAAGUUUAGAAGUUUUUAAUAAGAAUUUGGAGGCAAAGUCAUUUUAUGCUCCACACUUAUUUGAAAACGUUUUUCACAUCUCAUGUUUGAUAAAUUUGAGUUAGUGAUAGAAUUUAGUUGCUAAUUGCUAGAGAUGUGGAACUGAAACUAGUGGGCAUGUAAAGAAUCCAAUAAGUUUUUUUAUAUCAUUUUAAUUAAUUUAUUUAGUACGAAUAAAAAAUUAUUUUUAUCAAUAAUAUAUUUGACUUAGGUAAGUGUAUGGAGUAAAUUUUCUUUUUAAAACUUUGAAGAUGGGUGUGUGAAUUAAUAAUUAAAAAAUACCCUCACCUUUUGAUUUAAGUUUAAAAAAUCAAAAUAAGUAGGACUAAUGAGUCAAAAUUUAGUAUUAUCUGAUUAUUUUAUAAUUUUAGAAUAAAACAGGGAUUGCAGUGUAAUUAACCCAAAAGGACAAAAAAAGGUGGUAUGUUACUACUGUGGUAACAUAGUAGGAUCCGAGAUGAUAUAUUACUUUUUUCAAACAUGCAUGUGACAAAGUCAUGUGUGCACUUAUAUUAUUACGAUAAAAUUAACUGUAAAAAUCAAAGUAAAAUUGCCAAUUAAAUUAAUUUAUUACCUUUUUGACAUGCACAAAAGUCGUGAAAGAAGAGAAAUGUAGCAAGAGUAGCAACAAAUGACAGUCUCAAGCACCGAAGAUCCAUGAUUUGAUGAAAUAACAGCUCUCGGUGAGGCCUUUUGAUCAAUUAAUUAUACACACGCACACACAUAUAUAUAUAUAUAGGGGGAUUACUGUUGUCGAAUAAGAAGGCAACAAGCUUUGAUAUGGUGACGACAAAUUCUGCAUGCACAACGAUUUCUUGCUCACUUUGUCGGGAAAAUGAAAGCUAAAUUUCCUCAGAAGCGCACACAAAGAGUCAGAGAAAAUGCGAUGCCGCCAAGCCGGUGUCCGCGAAUUUUACACAAGCAACAUUGGAAUGAGCUACUAUUUAAUUUGCACAGAAUUGAGAGGUUGGAGAGAUAGAACUGAGUUUCAUUGAACAAAUGAAACUGAUGAAGCUCUAUUUAUUACUUCAGCUGAAUAUCAAGGUGCCUAUUUGUACAUGAAAUGAGACUAUGAGCGAGAGAAGCAGUCGAUACUUGUAAGUUGCGUGUGAGGGGGCUGAACCUUACAGAUGCUGUAAGGUAGCCCUCUCCUUUCACUAAGGCUACACCAACCAACUGAUACAACUCAUCACUAUUGCCAAUUAAUUACGCUUGAUAAUAUCUUCUAAUGCCUUGAUUUUUGGUACAUGUUUUUGGAAUUAAUGGAGAUUAUGAAAUUACGCCGACUGGUUGUACAAAAUUGUCUUGAUUUCUGGCCAUUAGAUUUUAUUGAUUAAUGAUAUUAGCAAACGGGAUACUUUUUAAUAAAACUCUCUUAUCAAUACUAUGAAGUAAUCUGAGUAUUUUAACUUGUUUUGAGCGUAAGUAUAUAAAUUGUGCCACUACAAAAUUGAUUUAGGAAAUUUUAAUAAAUAUUUCUAUUGUAAACAUCUGUAUGUAUGUCUGUAAUAUAAUAUUAGAAAAACCGAUAUAUGCAGACUUUGACAUCACAAAGUUAAUUAAGUUCUUAUAUAUAUAUAUAUAUAUAUGAUGGUAAACAUCAAUAUAUUUGUAAUGAAAAAUGAAAUAUAGGGGAAAAAUAAAAAUAUAAAUAUAAAUAUAAAAAGGUAUGGGGAAGAUAAGCUUAGGUUAAUGCGUGGGGUAGGGGGGACCGCAAGUUCAGCAUCAGUUGGAUGGAAUCUAAAUAAAUGAACUUCCCGGAAAUUUCAAGCAAUGCAUUGAUUACAAGCCACCAAUGUCUGUGGCUAAGAGUGUCACAAGAGCAUCUCCUCCUCCACGGGUAAAGAUCCUCUCCUUAUUUGAAUUUUUAUAAAUUUUUAAAAUUUUAUAUUAUAUGUGAUAAUGUAUAGAUAUAAUUUAACUUAUUUAUUUUGUUUUAUUAACUACUAAUCACAUAUAUAUAUUUUUACUUAGGAGAAGAUUAGAUCAUGAGAGAAUCUUGAUCCCUCCUCCACAGCCUGUGCUUUCGGUAGAUUAUACACAAUGAAAGCAGAACACGAUAAUUUCUCUGCUUGAUUAUGUGGUGCUUUUCCAUUUUUGAUUUCUUUGUUUAAUGUGCAGGUCUCGGUGCAUGUGCAAGAGAUCGUUAAAGAAUAUUUACUUCUAAAUGUAUAAUGUUGAAAGGAUUAGUAGUACAUAUAUAUAUCUUAAGAAAAAAGAAAUUAAGAACAUGUUAUUUUGGGUGUCUAGAUCUUAGCUGGUGCAAACAAAUAAAAGUUUCAUAUAAUUAACCAAAAAUGGGUCGAUAAAAGUGACAUUGGCAUGACGAGAAGCUUUUGAUUAGUGUCAACGCACUCUCCACCAGAAAUGGCUGCAAAAGUGACAAUUAAUAUUUCUAUUACUUUAACAUUACAUUUAUUUUUGGGAUCAUCUUUUGCGGCGACUUACGUGCCCAUUCUGAAAUGACACACCUCUGGAACACCAUAUAAUUAUUUACUCGUUCUCUUUGAGGAUGAGAUGGUCUUGUCGUUAUCAAAAUUAUGAUGGGUCAAUUUGAGAGUAAGAGUGUGUAAUAAAAUUCUUUGAAGACACUGUUAAGUCUUUUAUAUACUAGAAAGCACAUAGAUACGUCAUACACUGUAUAAUGUUGUUCGGUACUCAUAAAUUUUCAUUCAUGACCCUUAAAAUAUUGAUGAUGUAUUAUAUAUGAAUUUACAAUCUAAAAAUUUAGCGUGUCAACAAUAAUAAAAUUUUGGGCAUAUAACCAGAUUUUUUAGGAUGUAGUGAGGGCACUGCACCAAACUUAGGAUACCAUAUUUCUCAAAUAAAGAUUUUAUUUUAUUUUUUAAAAAAAAAUUGAGUAACAUAAAACUUUGCAUUUUCCGAAAAUAAAACCACCUUCAAACUCACUUUCCAUAAAUGUAGUUUAUUAACUUUUAUUUAUUUAUUACAAAUUCAAUAAAACUCACAAAAUUCAAAUAUUCCCUUUUAUUAUUAUUUUUUUUAAAAGUUCAAAUCAACGAAAAAAAAAAAUCAAAUUAACAUAUAUAUAUGAUGAUGAUUGACAUUACUUUGAACCGUUACUUGCAAGUCUCUCACUCAGAAUCCUGACUCCCAUGUACCUGCAACAUAUCAUAACACAACAAAUUAAUUAAACCUCACAGAAACUUACCAAAAUCUUGCUUACGUAUUUGCUUGUGGUCAGGUUAACGUACCUUCCAAGCAUCAUGACCGUUGCUUGCGGAUUAGUCCCCGGGGAGUAAUAAAACGUGGAUCCGUCGAUGACCCUCAAUGCAUCGACCCCAAGAACCUUAUAAUCAUGAUCAACAACCUUACCAACUUGGCAACCUCCAUGAUAAUGCCAUAUGGUCAUCACUGUGUCCCUGCAAAAUUGUUCCAGUGAUGUUGAUGCAUUGCUGUGUCUGGGCAGCAAAUUGACCGGGGCACUGGCAGUCAUGUUUACCAGUGUUGGCACUGACAUACUCUCGUAUUUAAACUUAGAAAAAGAUUUUGAUUCAAUUAUUUUCUCUAUGGUUGAAAUGCCCUGUACACAUCUUUGUAAGUCUUCAGGUUCCUUGAAGUAAUUGAACGUGACGGACGGGUUAUCGUUCGGGUUUCGGGUUCGGAGCUCCAAAUGUCCCGUGGAUACUGGGCCCAUAACCUUUUCGAGAAUGAAUCCGCCUCUGAAAGCUGGAUCAUCAAGUGCUUUCAUGUUUUCA